rnacentral:ncRNA from 1 species
UAAAAAGCUAUGAAGAGACUCUAUUAAGUCUUAUCUCCCUGUUUAUAGAGAGCCAGUGGAUGGUGAAAACUGGCACAAAGAUAAGAUGAAUUUCAUCUUGGAGCUUAUCUUUUCUGCUCAAUAGCAGGAAAGACGGUUAAUCCGUUAUAUUUCGAGUGGAAAGUCACAUGCUUUCAAAAAGGGUGGUACCGCGUGAAUCUGAUUCGCGUCCCUUUU